rnacentral:rRNA from 1 species
GUGAGGAAUAUUGGGCAAUGGGCGAAAGCCUGACCCAGCCACGCCGCGUGAGUGAUGAAGGCCUUCGGGUUGUAAAGCUCUGUGGGGAGGGAAGAAAAAGCGCAGGAGUAACUGCCUGUGUGUUGACGGUACCUCCUUAGCAAGCACCGGCUAACUCUGUGCCAGCAGCCGCGGUAAUACAGAGGGUGCAAACGUUGCUCGGAAUUACUGGGCGUAAAGCGCGUGAAGGCUGACAUGCAAGUCGGGUGUGAAAUCCCAGGGCUCAACCGUGGAACUGAACUCGAAACUGCACGUCUUGAGUACUGGAGAGGGAAGCGGAAUUCCGGGUGUAGAGGUGAAAUUCGUAGAUAUCCGGAGGAACACCAGUGGCGAAGGCGGCUUCCUGGACAGUAACUGACGCUUAGACGCGAAAGCGUGGGGAGCAAACAGGAUUAGAAACCCGAGUAGUCC